rnacentral:rRNA from 1 species
GCGGCCUAUCAGCUUGUUGGUGAGGUAAUGGCUCACCAAGGCGACGACGGGUAGCCGGCCUGAGAGGGUGACCGGCCACACUGGGACUGAGACACGGCCCAGACUCCUACGGGAGGCAGCAGUGGGGAAUAUUGCACAAUGGGCGCAAGCCUGAUGCAGCAACGCCGCGUGAGGGAUGACGGCCUUCGGGUUGUAAACCUCUUUUAGUAGGGAAGAAGCGAAAGUGACGGUACCUGCAGAAAAAGCACCGGCUAACUACGUGCCAGCAGCCGCGGUAAUACGUAGGGUGCAAGCGUUGUCCGGAAUUAUUGGGCGUAAAGAGCUCGUAGGCGGUUUGUCGCGUCUGCUGUGAAAACUGGAGGCUCAACCUCCAGCCUGCAGUGGGUACGGGCAGACUAGAGUGCGGUAGGGGAGAUUGGAAUUCCUGGUGUAGCGGUGGAAUGCGCAGAUAUCAGGAGGAACACCGAUGGCGAAGGCAGAUCUCUGGGCCGUAACUGACGCUGAGGAGCGAAAGCGUGGGGAGCGAACAGGAUUAGAUACCCUGGUAGUCCACGCCGUAAACGUUGGGAACUAGAUGUGGGGGCCAUUCC